rnacentral:lncRNA from 1 species
AUGUGUACUCUGUUUACAUUACAGUUGUUUAUUAGUUUACUCGUUUGUUUUGCGACUGGUGAAAUGCCGGCAUAUAUAUAUUUUCAACAUUUGACAUAACCCUGUAUGUUUUGCAGGGACAACCGAGGACGUGCAUUUCUCAGCACCCAGUCAACUGCCAAAAGUGACUCAAACACAGGCCACCAGUGGAACUCGGCUGUACCACUGCAGUGCUGCGGAAAUUGCCUUCACCAGCGGCUUUGCAACAGCUGUUUCACAGCAUGUCGGAGACAAUGCCUACGAAAUUAUUGGCCCUGAUGAUGAGAGCCCUCAAAGGGCAAACGACAUCUCUGUUGCAGAAGUGAAACCGAUACCACCUGAAGUUACCAUGACAGGUGGCACGGCAGCAAUAGAUACAGAGACUGCCAUGUCUACUGCAGCUGCAACAGUGUACGAGGCAAGCAGCAGCGCGUCAGCAUCAGCAGCAGUGUCAGAAGGAACCACACCAGGCCUGGUAGAGCAACAUGUGUGCUAUCACUGUGACUUUUUGUAGUGCAUACAACUCAUUUGCUCAACAUACAAAAGCUUUUCACCACGACUGUGAGCCAGUGUUAUUGUGCAGCAAGUGCAAGACUAAGUUAGGUGUUAUAACACAGUACAAGCAUCACUUUAAUAUAUGCAAAUGCAAACAUAUUACAGUUGUUGCCUCCCCAGCCAGCCCACAUAGUGACAACAAUGUGGAACACAUGGUGGGACACACCUCUCCCCCAUUACAAGAUAGUAGAGACUGUCAGUGUUGUUGCUAGAUUGACUGGUCUUUGUAGGCAACUAGAAGGACAACACAGGUGUCAUAAGAUUGUUGUUGAUGUUGUUGUUGAAGAGGUAAAAAAGAAGUUUGAUGCAGCUGAAGUGCCAACUGAUAUUGAGCAAAUCAAAAGCAACCACCUGAGAAAGCAACACUAUCGAAAUUUGGGUAUCUAUGUGCCGCCAACUCUGGUAAGAAUGGCAUAGGACAGAAGUGUGAUGAAAAUCACACAGACACUGCUGUUGCAUCACUGGCCACAGUGAGCAGCGACUUGUAGGGCAAGAGAGUCAACUGAAACUAACAUUAUGAUAUAGUGUCAUGCUUCCAUGUGACCACUUUUCAAGUUAUUUUGCAAGAUACAGCUCAACCUCCAGAAACGAGACUGCAACUUGUCUGUAAAAAAGCUUUCACAAAAAAUUAUUCAUAACACUAUUAACAUAGCAGUAUCUUUUUUUUUUUGUGUCGGUUCGAGGUUCCCGGCUGUCCAUUAAUGCAAAAAUUGAGGAAAAAAAGAACAUGUGUCCUACUUACACCUUUUUAACAAGUACGAGGGGGACAGAACUUUUCUAGUCAUGCAUCUUCAUCAUACUAUCAAGUUCUUAAAUGCCUUUUAUAAUUAUUAUUACCAGUUAUAUCUGAGUGCAUUGUAUGCAUGUAGCAGGUGUAAAAUCAGGGCAGUUGGAUCAGAUGCCUUAUCUGCAAGCGAGCCCUAUAUUCAAGAAAUUUGAAUUAAAAUAGUUACGUUAGAGACGCAGUCUUUCAGCACUUUAUUGCCUGUGGUUUAAGCAUUGCUCAAUACUUUUGUGGGUGGCAAUUUCAACCGGCACAGCACUGCGCUUUGCCACAGUCACAUUUGUCUUCAAAGCGGUGUUUACCAUUUGUGUUGAUCUGUUUGUGUAUGCAUAGAGCAAGUUUUUAAUUUAUAUUUUUCUGCAUUCUUGUGCUUGCACUAAGCUUGUAUAAGGCAGUUACAAAAUGUGCGGCACUAUAACGAACUGUUCUGUUGAGCUUACACUUGCAAAUAAUCGUGUUCAGAUGGCCGCACUUCUAUGCGGGUGCACCGCUAGCUUUGUGUAUGUUCUCAUGUUUGUAUAAAGCUUAUAUAAGCUAGUUAGAAAAUGUAUGUCACUAAGCAUUGUGAUAUUCUUUAAAGAACUGCUUGGUUGGUUUUACACUUGUGAAUUAGUAUUGAGGCGGUGGUAUUCCCAUGUAUGCCCACUGCUAGCUUUCUGUGUCCUCACGUGUUUGUAUUAAGUUUCUACGAGGGAGUUACAGCAUGUACGUCACUAAGCACUGUGAUAUUUUUUAAUGAACUGCUUUGUUGGUUUUACACCUGUGAGUAAUAGUACUCGGGUGGCACUAGUCAUGUGUAGGUACACAGGGACCAUUUGUAUACAUUAUGCUCAUGUAAAGCAGUUACAAAGUGUAUGUCACUAAUUACUGUGAUAUUUGUUGAAUUGCUGUGAUGGUUUUACACAUGUGAAUAAUAGUGGUCAGGACACAGUACUUGCGGUGUAUAGUUGAAUUUAUACACUGCCAAGACAUGGGCUG